rnacentral:rRNA from 1 species
UACGUAGGGUGCAAGCGUUAAUCGGAAUUACUGGGCGUAAAGCGUGCGCAGGCGGUUUUGUAAGUCUGUCGUGAAAUCCCCGGGCUCAACCUGGGAAUUGCGAUGGAGACUGCAAGGCUAGAAUCUGGCAGAGGGGGGUAGAAUUCCACGUGUAGCAGUGAAAUGCGUAGAGAUGUGGAGGAACACCGAUGGCGAAGGCAGGUCUCUGG